AGCGUCCCUGUCGUGGUCAGUAUGCGCCCUGUUCCUGCCAGCAUGCUGGACAAAGCCGUGCAGGUUUCUCACCUCAACCCACUGGCACACGGCUCUCCCAUACAUGUUGGAGACCCAGCUGUUCUUUGCAUACAGGACUUGUCCAGACCAGACUAUGGGGACCCAGUGAAACUGCACCCUGGUGAGUUCCAGUCUUCUGGGCCUGUGGCGUGACCGCUAUAGAGGCUAUACUCAGCAGCAAGCCAUCUUUGGCAUUCAGCCACUCACCUGGCUGUAUGUUCUUGACCGACAUCCCUGACUCCUCCCAUUUCACUCCAACAUCAUCCUCUGAGCAUGUGGCUCCUCCA